rnacentral:rRNA from 1 species
GAUGAACGCUGGCGGCGUGCCUAAUACAUGCAAGUCGAGCGAACAGACGAGGAGCUUGCUCCUCUGACGUUAGCGGCGGACGGGUGAGUAACACGUGGAUAACCUACCUAUAAGACUGGGAUAACUUCGGGAAACCGGAGCUAAUACCGGAUAAUAUAUUGAACCGCAUGGUUCAAUAGUGAAUGACGGUUUUGCUGUCACUUAUAGAUGGAUCCGCGCCGCAUUAGCUAGUUGGUAAGGUAACGGCUUACCAAGGCGACGAUGCGUAGCCGACCUGAGAGGGUGAUCGGCCACACUGGAACUGAGACACGGUCCAGACUCCUACGGGAGGCAGCAGUAGGGAAUCUUCCGCAAUGGGCGAAAGCUUGACGGAGCAACGCCGCGUGAGUGAUGAAGGUCUUCGGAUCGUAAAACUCUGUUAUUAGGGAAGAACAAAUGUGUAAGUAACUAUGCACGUCUUGACGGUACCUAAUCAGAAAGCCACGGCUAACUACGUG